rnacentral:rRNA from 1 species
GUAGUCCACGCCGUAAACGAUGGAUACUAGCUGUUCGAGAGCAAUCUUGAGUGGCUAAGCGAAAGUGAUAAGUAUCCCACCUGGGGAGUACGGGCGCAAGCCUGAAACUCAAAGGAAUUGACGGGGGCCCGCACAAGCGGUGGAGCAUGUGGUUUAAUUCGAUGAUACGCGAGGAACCUUACCAAGGCUUAAAUGUAGAUUGACAGGUUUGGAAACAGACUUUCCUUCGGGCAAUUUACAAGGUGCUGCAUGGUUGUCGUCAGCUCGUGCCGUGAGGUGUCAGGUUAAGUCCUAUAACGAGCGCAACCCCUGUUGUUAGUUGCCAGCGAGUCAAGUCGGGAACUCUAACAAGACUGCCAGUGCAAACUGUGA